AGUGAACUAGGGGCGUUAUCAGCCUCGAAUCUAUAUUCUGGAACACUUUGGAGUACCUCUGUUGUCGUCCAACAGAAUCAAGGAGAUAUCAGAAACUCUUUUCUUAAAGUUGUAAGAAAAUAGCAAGGUUGGAGGGGAAAGAAGUGGAUGAAAAAAAAACUCCCUUUUGUAAAGGUAUAUGGAUGUAUUUAUAAGUGAAUACAAAG
rnacentral:lncRNA from 1 species